AGCGAACGCUGGCGGCAGGCCUAACACAUGCAAGUCGAGCGGACGUAGCAAUACGUCAGCGGCAGACGGGAGAGUAACACGUGGGAACGCGCCCUUCGGUUCGGGAUAACUCAGGGAAACUUGGGCUAAUACCGGAUACGCCCUUACGGGGAGAGAUUUAUUGCCGAAGGAACGGCCCGCGUCCGAUUAGCUUGUUGGUGAGGGAACGGCUCACCAAGGCGACGAUCGGUAGCUGGUCUGCGAGGAUGACCAGCCUCACUGGGACUGAGACACGGCCCAGAGUCCUACGGGAGGCAGCAGUGGGGAAUAUUGGACAAUGGGCGCAAGCCUGAUCCAGCCAUGCCGCGUGGGUGAUGAAGGCCCUAGGUUUGUAAAGCCCUUUCGGCGGGGAAGAUAAUGACGGUACCCGCAGAAGAAGCCCCGGCUAACUUCGUGCCAGCCGCCGCAGUAA
rnacentral:rRNA from 1 species